rnacentral:tRNA from 1 species
UAGGGUAUAGCGUAAUAGGUUAUCGCGUUUGCUUUGGGAGCGAAAAAUUGUAGGUUCGAAUCCUACUACCCUAA